rnacentral:rRNA from 1 species
UACGUAGGGGGCAAGCGUUGUCCGGAAUUAUUGGGCGUAAAGAGCUCGUAGGCGGUUUGUUGCGUCGGCUGUGAAAACCUGAGGCUCAACCUCAGGCCUGCAGUCGAUACGAGCAGACUAGAGUGUUGCAGGGGAGACUGGAAUUCCUGGUGUAGCGGUGAAAUGCGCAGAUAUCAGGAGGAACACCGGUGGCGAAGGCGGGUCUCUGGGCAACAACUGACGCUGAGGAGCGAAAGCGUGGGGAGCGAACAGG